rnacentral:lncRNA from 1 species
UUAAGCUAAUGAUCUCCAGAGGAUAUCGUCCUGGAUAAGGGUGGAGCCUACGCCCAAAAAUGAGAUUGCCUGAAAGAGAAAAGAAAGGGGGAAAACACACAGAGAUACAGUCAGGGAGGCCACAUGAAGAUGGAGGCAGAGACAGGAGUGAUGAGCCUGCAAGCCAAGGAAUGCCAAGGGCUGCCAGCAGCCAUGAGAAGCUGAGAGACACAGAGAACGAGUCCUCUGCCAGAGCCUCCAGAAGGAGCUAACCCUGUCAAUACCUUGAUUUCGGACUUCUGGACUCCAGAACUAUAACCCUCCUUCCUCCACCUCACAAAAACUCACAAGCUGCAACCCUUCUGAUGUCCACUCCCACACAAACCAGCUUCAGGCCUUUUUCAAGAGUGCAGGAAAUUCUACCCCCCAAGUAUGGCACCUUGGCAUGCUGAGUAUUUUAAGCUGAAGGAAACAGAGAAAACCACAGAAGCAGAAAGGUCUUUCUGACCUCUCUUGAAGACCCUCAUGUGACAGGUGUCCUGCCCUACAUCCAGAGAGAAGGAAUGUUCCACAGAGAGACUAAGAAGAAUCUGAAGAAUCAGGCCUUACUAAGUGCCCUCCAGCUCUGAUGUAGAUGGGAUGGAAUUCCAAGUGCUGGGAAUACUUCUAGCAGCUAAAGUUAAGAGCGUACCAGAUGUGUUCAGAGAACCUCGAGUUGAUCUGAAAAGAGAAUCUGCUCAAGGAGAAAACAACUGGAUGCUGUGGGGCACCACCUCCUUGAGGACCAAGGCACUCCAGCUGCCAGGAAUUUGGCUGCUAACCUCACACAGCUGAGCCUUCCAUGAAAAUUGCUCUCUGCCAAAGAGAACUUCCUAGUCCAAGGUCAUGUCUACUCUCCAGAGAUGUGACUGGAGUGAUUUGCACCUGGAUGCCUAGACUCGCCAUCUGCUGAAAGACUGCUCAGAAAGCCCUCCCAUGCAUUCCCCUGCUGCAUACCAGCCCACUCUGCCUGCAGCUGCUGUCUGCAGGACUUCAUAUCUAUGCCACACUGUGUAAAAGCUGUGCUUCAAGAAAUCACAAAAACGUUUUCCUGCACCUACUACACAGCCUGAGUGCGGCAUAAGUUGACCUUGCUUGCUAAGAAAUGGGGCAAGAAAUGCUUUUUUGUGUGUGUCAUGUCUGUUUGUUUUUCAAUUAAGAGAGGAAAGCAUUAGGCAGAUGGAAUGUACAUGUGAGGAUGAGGAGACAGAAAACAAGUAGCCCUUUCCAUCAAGAUAGAGGGUUUUCUGGGGUUGCUGGCUGUUGAAUGUCACUCCUGAUUUCUCUUUCCAAGGCACUGUACCACCAGCCUACUGAGAUUGUGUGGGAGCUUUCAUGGGGGUUGUAUUUCACUGAUGAAAAUAAAU